AGAGCGAACGCUGGCGGCAGGCCUAAUACAUGCAAGUCGAACGGAUCCUUCGGGAUUAGUGGCGGACGGGUGAGUAACACGUGGGAACGUACCCUUUGGUUCGGAACAACUCAGGGAAACUUGAGCUAAUACCGAAUGUGCCCUUCGGGGAAAAGAUUUAUCGCCAUUGGAGCGGCCCGCGUCUGAUUAGCUAGUUGGUAGGGUAAAGGCCUACCAAGGCUACGAUCAGUAGCUGGUCUGAGAGGAUGAUCAGCCACACUGGGACUGAGACACGGCCCAGACUCCUACGGGAGGCAGCAGUAGGGAAUCUUGCGCAAUGGGCGAAAGCCUGACGCAGCCAUGCCGCGUGAAUGAUGAAGGUCUAGGAUUGUAAAAUUCUUUCAGCGGGGACGAUAAUGACGGUACCCGCAGAAGAGCCCCGGCUAACUUCGUGCCAGCAGCCGC
rnacentral:rRNA from 1 species